rnacentral:rRNA from 1 species
CUGCGAAUGGCUCAUUAUAUAAGUUAUCGUUUAUUUGAUAGUACCUUACUACUUGGAUAACCGUGGUAAUUCUAGAGCUAAUACAUGCUGAAAAUCCCGACUUCGGAAGGGAUGUAUUUAUUAGAUUAAAAACCAAUGCCCUCUGGGCUCCUUGGUGAUUCAUAAUAACUUUUCGAAUCGCACGGCCUUGCGCCGGCGAUGGUUCAUUCAAAUUUCUUCCCUAUCAACUUUCGAUGUUUGGGUAUUGGCCAAACAUGGUUACAACGGGUAACGGAGGGUUAGGGCUCGACCCCGGAGAAGGAGCCUGAGAAACGGCUACUACAUCCAAGGAAGGCAGCAGGCGCGCAAAUUACCCAAUCCCGAUUCGGGGAGGUAGUGACAAUAAAUACUGAUACAGGGCUCUUUUGGGUCUUGUAAUUGGAAUGAGUACAAUUUAAAUCUCUUAACGAGGAACAAUUGGAGGGCAAGUCUGGUGCCAGCAGCCGCGGUAAUUCCAGCUCCAAUAGCGUAUAUUAAAGUUGUUGUGGUUAAAAAGCUCGUAGUUGAACCUUGGGCCUGGCUGGCCGGUCCGCCUCACCGCGUGUACUGGUCCGGCCGGGUCUUUCCCUCUGUGGAACCUCAUGCCCUUCACUGGGUGUGGCGGGGAAACAGGACUUUUACUUUGAAAAAAUUAGAGUGCUCCAGGCAGGCCUAUGCUCGAAUACAUUAGCAUGGAAUAAUAAAAUAGGACGUGUGGUUCUAUUUUGUUGGUUUCUAGGACCGCCGUAAUGAUUAAUAGGGACAGUCGGGGGCAUCAGUAUUCAAUUGUCAGAGGUGAAAUUCUUGGAUUUAUUGAAGACUAACUACUGCGAAAGCAUUUGCCAAGGAUGUUUUCAUUAAUCAGGAACGAAAGUUAGGGGAUCGAAGACGAUCAGAUACCGUCGUAGUCUUAACCAUAAACUAUGCCGACUAGGGAUCGGACGAUGUUAUUUUUUGACGCGUUCGGCACCUUACGAGAAAUCAAAGUGC